rnacentral:rRNA from 1 species
GGACCACAAGAGCGUGGAGUAUGUGGCUUAAUUCGACUCAACGCGCAAUAACUUACUUGGUCCGAACGCUUUGAGGAUUGACAGUUUCUGGUACAAUGUGCGGCUUGUUUGUUACAACUACGAAUGAUUCGAAUUGUUGUAAAUAUGACUUGGCCGGCCUUCGGGUGUCUUGGAUCGGCGUAUCAGGUCGUACAUUGUAUUCAAUGAGAAAGUUCUUUUAUGAUUAUGUGGUAGGUGGUGCAUGGCCGUCUUUAAUUCGUGGAGUGAUCUGUCUGCUUAAUUGCGCAUUGCAAAUUGUAAUUGAUCUUUGAACAGAUCCGUCUUUUUAUGUUGAAUAGUACGUACAGUCAGACCCGGUUGGGCAUGUACGGAAAGGUCACAUAUAAAGUACGGUCUGCUAAAGAUAUGAAUAUCUUGCCCUAAAGAUUGAUUAACACCGUGAGUGCAACGAGUGAGAUUGCGAGUCUUUGUUAUGUAGUGCUCAACAUACCUAUGUGCAGUAGGAUUUAACUACACCAUGUAACCUUUUUCAAAGGUUGAAUGAACUUAGGCGACUGCUAUACUUUUAAGAUGGUCGAAGGUUGUGGCAAUGACAGGUCUGUGAUGCCCUUAGAUGUUCAGGGCUGCACACGUACUACAUUGAUCUAGUCAAUAAGUAUGUGUGUAACAAUAAUUUUGAAUGUAUUGGUUAAGCUUUUCUUAUAUUUUGGUAAGAGGUUAAUACAGAACUUUCGAGAGAGUUCCGACAACAGUCAAUCUAGUUAUUGCUUGUAGUCGAUCUCAUGAUUGUUUAGUUUUAUGCAACUUCGGGUCAUGAUUCACUAGUACGCUUCUAAUUCACAGUGGGGACAGUCGUUUGUAAUUCUGAGACUCGGUUCAACUAGGAAUGCCUAGUAUUGAUGGUUCACUAAACUUUCUGGAAUAAGUCCCUGCCCUUUGUACACACCGCCCGUCGCUUUUACCAAUGGCCCUCGUUGUGAGUGAGCUGGACAAGUUAUUUUAACUUGAAAAGUUCUCAAUCAAGGUUUGCUAAAGGAAAAAGAAGUCGUAACAAGGC